AAACUUAUCAGUCGCGAAGUGUAUUUAGUAUCAGUCGCACUCUUAAUUUCUCCUCAAUUAAGUCUACAUGCGGUGUGGUAAUAACAUUAAAAUUCAUUUGUGCAAGUCGUCGAUUGAUAAAUGACAAUGAAUGAGGACAAUGCGGACGAUGUCUUUUCGGAGCAAGUAAAACGUUACGGAAUUUCAAAAUUGGCAAAACUAACGAAUUAUAAUAACAAUUCGUGCCCGGAAGUGGUACCAUCUACGAAAGAAUAUAUAUCUGCUAUCAAUGUCUAUGGGAUACCUCUAAUUGCGGUGGGAGUUCUAGCUGUGAUACUAAUCCUCUACAUGUUUAUCGACACUCUCCUCUAUAUCAUAAAAAAUUCGCCACCAAGGGUGAAAACAUACUCAGCAUCUGUAAUCGGCGUUUAUCCCGUAGUAGCAAUAGCGACACUAUGUGCAACAAUCGUUCCAAGAUCUCAAUUGUUAGCCGAAGCUGUAACGCAGGGCAUUUUCAUGAUCGGAAUGUACCAGCUAUUUUGCCUUUUCGUAGCGUAUUGCGGAGGAGAGGCGGAACUCAUCCGUAACGUAAAACCAUCGGGUCUAAAUACAAAAGUGGCACCGUGCUGCUGCUGGCCCUGCUGCUGCUGCCUACCAUCUUUUGAUAUCAACAAAAAUCGAGUCCGUAAUUUGAGGCUGCUCGUUCUUCAACUUCCUGUCGUACAAGGACUCGUUUACAUGACCUUAUUAGUAUUAUGGGCCGAAAGGGAGAGGUUAUACCAAGUGAACUACAUCUACAUGCAACCAGUGAUAGUUACCUCGAUAUUUUUCGGAGUAUGGGGCAUGACUAUGACGAUUCAAUUGCUAAAGGAGCUCCUGAAGGAUUAUUGGAUGUUUUCGAAGUUUAUCGUGCUACAGUUGGUGCUAAUUUUGAGCAAAUUGCAAGGUAUCACCAUGAAAGGGGUCGUAAAGCUGCGGCUGCUACCGUGCCAUCCUCCUCUCACUCCAACAGUAUACUCGAACUUAAUUUACAACUGCUUAAUAAUGCUUGAGAUGGUCUUACUAGGAUUUAUAGCGAGAAGAUUAUACAAACGGGCCUUACCUAAUAUGAGUUUAUCUGAGAACAAAAUUUCACCUGUUUGCUUAGUUGGACAACAUAUGGCGGCAAAUGGUUCAAUUAUAGCUGUUGAGAGUAACAAUAAUGACAUUUCUUAUGUCGACCAUAAUGAAAAAAUGAAAGACGAGUCUGAAGGUUACAAAGUGACCACAAAGUGACAGAAAAAAGUGCAACUUUCUAUUGGGCGUCCUCACAGUCGCUUAAUUAAUCACCGUCGUAAACAAAUUAAGUGUCGUUUUCAAGGAUUGGUUUAUCAAGACUAGAACGGAUGGUGAGUGGUAGGUAAUCUUCAGCAGCAUAGUCAAAGGUAGGGUUUCCCUUCACUGAUCGCGUUACAAAUAUCCAUGUAGCGAAGAUUUGGGGGUCAUUUUGAUUGUGAAAGACCUAAGAAAUUUAGGAAGCCGUCGAGAUGUUACUCACACUUGCAUUUGGCUACUGCCUUCUAAGUACAACGUUUGCUGCCCCUCCUGAACAGCAGGUAAUGUUGGAGGACAUGGAGCGUCAGAAUGUCGGCGAAGAUCACAGAGAAAGAUACGAAUAUACUUACCAACAGCAAAUUCGGCCUAAGUUGCCUCAACGGGUUGAGAAACCUCAAAACAUGCGAAUGGAGUACGGGUUUCGACCAAUGAAGACUGCCGUGGCACACGUCCCAAAUAAUCAGUACUAUGAGCAACAAUCUCAAUCGCUACUUACCUAUCAACCAUCAGGACUAGCGCAAUCGCCACCGGCGUAUUUCAUAUACCAGCCCGUCCAGCAAAGGGAGCAGCAAGCAAAUGUGCAACCUAUUACCGAUAACUACCUAACUCAAUACGUUUACCUUCAACAGCCCAGCAACAACAUUGACACCGCCUACGAUCCCAGAACUAAUUUGCAAUACUUCAUGUAUAUCCAACCGGAGUAUCUACAAAGUGGAGCAAGUACUCUACAGCCACAAUUAUCCUCGUCCUAUUUGUACCAAGGAGACAAAUUGCAAUAUCAGUUAGUUUCACCGUCCGCUGUCCAACCACAAGUUACCUACAUUCCGAAGACCUUACCAACACCUCAAAAAUUCAGCUCAAGCUCGCUGGUGCACGGACCAAAGUCUCUGCUUGAUUCCUACGUCCCUUCUCACUUGCAAGUAAAAUACAUCAAUCAAUUACAAAGAGUUCCCAAACGUAAGUUUCAAUCACACGGUUUGAGCAAAAACCUUCGACCUGAACAGAACAUGUAAGCCACCCCUUAUUUAAAUAUUGUUAUUUGUAUGUAUUAUUAAAUAAAUGUGUAAGUGUUUUGUUACACUGUCUCUUGUAUUUAUCUGUUGCACGUUAUCCUUCGCGUUUUAUAAUCAAUGGUUACACUAACGCAUUUAGUAAUAGCACAAUAGUUAAAAAGGGGAAGCAUGGAUGAAUCUUGAGAAAUAUUUAUUGGUUUAUUUAAAAAGUGUUUACAUAAAAUAUAGCAAUGGCGGUCCAGCUGGGUUUCAAGAUUUGGUCUGACACCACCUGUACAGAUGCGAUAAAUGACGAAAACAACACACUUUUCACAGAAUUAUUACAACCGCGUACACACAGUUUCUCCUUCCUUUUCCUAAAUCACCCACACUUGUAACUUAAUGCGUGCACACUGACUCUGCUCUGUAGAGCAAUCGGAAAACCAACACUUCUCCUUUAAUUUUAACUGACAAACAAAUUUCAAAACAUCGGCUGACCGUCGGAAAAAUUGUAUUUGAAAAUUUGCACGCAAAUUCAAAUGACGCGUGAUCCGCCUUCCCCAGCGGCGCGCAAAGCUUUUUAAGUCCGCACCACCUCCAUCGCGUUUUUUAUCUUCGGUAAAGGCCGACGAAAUGCGAGCACUUGUUUACAGUGCAUUUCCUUUCUAAACUUACCCUUGUGCCGCUUACCUCAUUCUUUUAAAUUUUACUUUGAUAAAGUCUGCUUAUCAAGCAUCUGUUAACUACGUAAACACAAUACAUUCUUUACUCACAAGUUGCUUAACUUCUACGUCUUAAAUUACAAAAAAGAACAAUUACAACAUAUUAAAUUAUUGAAUAAUUUUUACAAUAUAAGUAGAACUACAACUAAAAUUAAAUAAAUUCCACCCAGCAACCCAGGAAGGCAUGCUGUUAUUAUUUAGUCCUGUGGUGUGUAUCACAAACGUCAAACUUAACCUGCAAGUUACCGUUGCCAAAAAAAAACUUUAUUUUCCUUUAUUUAGAAUAGGCAAAAUAACAUUUUCUACAGAUACAGGGCUGAUUGUCGGCAUGCCCCACCAAAAUCUCUUAAUAUUUAAAAUUAUGAUCGACCAAAAUGGCAUCCGAGUUAAAAUUGUGAUUGAAAAUAAUACGGUGGAAACUAAGGUCACCUAUACUUUAUGGCCGGCUAUCGACAUAAAGAGGCAAUUUUUUGUAAUGCUGUAUACGAUCCCACAGGUUUUCAUCAUCCGAUGCCGGAAAAGAGUUUUGGAAAGGACACUCAGGGUCCAGGGAGAGGGGUGUAGUAUGUAAAAUUCGUUUGCCAAUACAGUAUUAAGUUCCUUUUGGUAAAAUGAUUUACAGAAGUAGUGGUCUUACGUAGACCGAUUAAGAAGGGUGAGUAAUCGAUUUACUUCGACAAAUGUAUUGAAUAAGUAUAAGAAACCAGUUCGAAACGAAACGCGUAAUUUUAAAUUUAUUAGUAGAUGCUACAGUUUAGUUGACCGCGUCUCCGGGCAGUGUGUAUUGCGCCUUUAUGCGUUAUUAAUUCAAUGCUGUUAAUUGUGGUUAACGAGUGUGCAUUGUACACGAUUCAGCGAUUCAACCAAAAAAGAAGGUACGUGGAAGAGAUUUUUCUUUUUGGAAAUUUUGGGACAACGUAGUCUUGACCAGCACUGACGCAGAUGUCAAUUCUAGAAGCUUAGAAAGCGAUUAUGUGUUACCUAUACGUACUUAAGUAAAAACUGCAUUUCAUGAUUAUUGGAAACAAAUUCACUCGCAGCAUCAGAAAAAUUCCUCGCUUUGGAUUCAAAAUGUGUCGGCUAUUUUUGUGAAAAAUUGUUCAUUAAUAAUAAUAUAUGCAGCUAAUAAGUAUAGGUACCUAUUUAAUUUUCUUCAAUUCACUAGUUUUCUGAUUCCCUAGGAAAAUAUGGGACCUCCAAGAAAUUACAAAUUAAUUACGCACCAAUUAUUUAGGGCUCGGCAGACUACUUCUUCAAAUCGUUCUUCUACCCGUCUAUCCAUCUGGAACUCUGGAACGACAGCACCUAGAGCACAGAUGAAUAUAGACUUGGGAAAGAAGAUUUCGACACCAAUCACCAAUUAUUAAAGGCUCGAUAGAUCCUGCUUCAAAUCCAUCUGGAACUCUGGAACGGAAGCCCCUAGAGCACCGAAACGAGAUUACGUCUUUGUCACAGCUUCCCUAUAGAAACUCAAAUGAGCAACGUAUUGCGAAAUUAAGACAUCUGAGGUAUUUUAUCUGCUCUCCUGCUACGUGGAUCUGCACAAAGGGCCUCCGUCUAGGAACUCACAAGAGCGUAUGAAAUUAAGACGUCUGCUUCCCUGCUGCACAAAGGAACCUUCGGCACCGCAGUCGAGCUUCCACACCAAUGCGUCACACGGGCCGGCAAAGUUGGGACUUUGAAAGCCAACACGAAUUUGGAGCCCUAGGCCAUCGAUUGAUCGCAAUGCUGUUUGAUAUCUACCACAUUCCCGUUGAAAAGGGAUACCACUCCUUCGAUACGAUCUCUAAAUCAAAAUAGAAUGGGCCAACAGCACUUUGGAAAGGAAUACACAGGUGCGUCAAGUACUUCCAUCACAUCUUAUGGAUAUUUUAUGCCAAGAUUUGCUUGAGAUGGGGAGGUAGGCCAUCGAAUCGAUCCCGGUGCCACUUUCCAGUCGUUAGAAAAGGUUGUCAUGUGGAAGUUUCUAAUUCAAAAUGAAGUUGCUCAAAUACACAGCCGGUCUCAAGCAGUACCUACCUCCAUCGCUAGCUAACGACGACACUUUUCCGUUGCGAAGACCGAAGGAACUAGUCACCUCUGCAGUUGUCAACAAAGACCAACAUUCUUAGGGAUUGAGUACUAUUCACCAUCACCACUUCGAAUUCGGCGCUGUCACCAUCAUCAUUCCGGUCCAUCCCUCAUCGAGGUCUAAGGUAGCUACUAGUAGUCAAUCAAAGGGCCUAUGGUGUUUCACUACUAGUAGCUUCAAUUGAGAACAAAAUAUACGUAUCAAGUUAUUUAUUUUUUGUUAUCACUGUUACAAGAACAUUUUGUAAUACAAAAAAAUCUCUAGAAUAGAAUAAUAUUGUACUGCCCUCACUGCUCUUUGCUGGCAGCUGGCAUUAGUUCAUCACACGACAUAGCCUCACCCAGCAAAAAAACAAUUAAAACUGUGAAAGCAAACGGAAUUUUUUUUAUUAAAAAGAGAAUCUAUAUUUAAACUUGAUUAAAAAU